rnacentral:rRNA from 1 species
GACGAACGCUGGCGGCGUGCUUAACACAUGCAAGUCGAACGGAAAGGCCCUGCUUGCAGGGUACUCGAGUGGCGAACGGGUGAGUAACACGUGGGUGAUCUGCCCUGCACUUCGGGAUAAGCCUGGGAAACUGGGUCUAAUACCGGAUAGGAGCCAUUUUUAGUGUGAUGGUUGGAAAGUUUUUUCGGUGUAGGAUGAGCUCGCGGCCUAUCAGCUUAUUGGUGGGGUAAUGGCCUACCAAGGCGGCGACGGGUAGCCGGCCUGAGAGGGUGGACGGCCACAUUGGGACUGAGAUACGACCCAGACUCCUACGGGAGGCAGCAGUGGGGAAUAUUGCACAAUGGGCGCAAGCCUGAUGCAGCGACGCCGCGUGGGGGAUGACGGCCUUCGGGUUGUAAACUCCGUUCGCUAGGGACGAAGCUUUUUGUGACGGUACCUAGAUAAGAAGCACCGGCUAACUACGUG